ensembl:lncRNA
CUUUUGUGCUGACUCCGAAGGAGCCUGCAGUUUAUUGUGAAGCAGAAAAUAUCUGCGGACACCAUGAAUGGAGCGGAUUAUCUGCAGCAGCACAGCGCCGAGAGUCUGUCCUUCGAAGAGAUGCAGCAGAUUAACCCGCUCGGAGUCCAUCAGCAGCAGAAAGACGAGGGCAGCCAAACCUCCGAAGUUCAGCAGCUGCUGGAGAUGAAAGAGGAUCACCCUGAAUGGAGCCUCGGUCUGGACCAGCAGGACCGAGAGUCUCUGCAGAUAAAGGAGGAACAGGAAGAACUCUGGACCAAUCAGGAGGGAGAGCAGCAUAAUGGAUUGAAGUCUUUGCAGCUUCAUCAAAGCCAAACUGAAGACAACAGUGAGAUGGAGCCUCUGACCAGCAGCCCAGCUAAACAGGUGUGCCGACAGCGCCAACAAGUCUACAGCCAGUCACCAAACAUGAUGCAAAAAAACGUGUCAAGAUUCAGCAUCCCGCCAAUGGAAAGGAGGACUGCACGUAGAUCCAUGAAAGGAAGAGGGAGAUGGCAGAAGUGCCUGCCUGCCAGUUCCAGUUCGGACAUCACUCUUGCAACCUCUCAAUACCAGAAGGACUCGGACGAAAACAGUGACCCCUCGCUGUCACUCAUUGCCAACAUGCCACACACAAUGCUGGAGCCGGGCUCGUCAGCCAGCCUGCACGGACGUGUUGGCCACAGAGUUGUGACCGGGGAGCCAGAGUUGGAGAUAGAGGAUGAAAAGCCAAUGGUGUCGCAUUGGCCCGGGGUCAAGAAGAGGAUCCGGAUGGAGCCAGAGGCGACUCUCUCGCCCGAACAGGAAGACCACCUCGUAGAGUGGUUUGCAGCUCACCCGUUCUUCUACGACCAGACAGCACGCGACUUCAAGGACAAGCGCAGGCGAGAGCAGCUGCUGGAUCAGAAGGCCGAGGAGCUAGGAGUUACCGGGAACUUCCUCUGGGGGUGGUUCCGCAACAUGCGGACCGUCUAUGGUAAACUAAGGAAGAAGAAGAAUGAGCAAGCAACACGACCACUGACAGCCAGGCAGCGGUGGACUUCAGAUAUGUUCAAAUUCUUGGACAAGCACAUGACCAUCCGCAGGAGCAGCCUGGGAAAGCUUCAAGGGGCACAGUCCACCAAUACCGGAGUGGAAGAGGAGGAGGAGGAAGAGGAAGAAGAAGAAGGAGACGAAGAGCCUGCGAGGUCAUCAAGUCGUCCUGGGUCUCCGUCUCCUGUUCCCUCCAGUCAAACCCCAAAGUUAAAGGGCAAGAAGGCCAAGCUCGCCAGCCGCUGCGUCAACAAGGCAGUUCUUCAAAUCCCAAACAGCAUGUCCUCACUGCAGACGGCUAUGAGGUCCCUGCAGGUAGCUAUGGAGUCCCUGCAGGCGGCCGUUGGGGGGUUGAGCAACAACCGAGUCAUGUACUGUCAAUACCUGAGCACCGAGGUGGGCAUGCUCACAGAGGAACAGUGGUCAAUGUUUCAGCAGGAGACUAUGGGGAUGCUUAUUCGUUUCCGUACUGCCCGUCAGCAGCGGCAGCAGUCCGCAGUUCCAGUCCUCCUCCCUCCGGGCUCCAUGGAGUCGAUUCCAGGCCCGAGCAGCACUCUGCUCAGUAGUUCCUAUUUCCAGUCCCGGCCAGCACCGCCCCAGUAGCCUCUGUCCCAGCAAAUUAAUUUUUUUAUUGAAUUUGUGAACUAUUUCACAAUUUAUUUACUGAUCAUAGUUGAGUGUUUAUGUUAAUAAACAAUCAUGUUUCACUGGUACUUACUUCUUGAUUCCUUGUAUCACAGUAGUAAAACUUGUGCCUUACAGCUGCAAGACAUUUUAAUUGGCGCAAAUUUUACUUUGAGGCGGAGAGUCUCAGUUUCUUGUCGGUGUUAUGUGUAAACUUGAAAAAUAGAAAAAGCAGAUGUUUCUCAUUAUAUUGUACUUUAUACAUGGACCAUUGUGACCUUUAAAUUCUUAUAUUCUAAAUUUGAAAUUAAAAUUUCAAUUUCUUUUCAUGUGAGUGAACUAUCUUGUAUUUUGUAUUUAUUACACUGGGAUAUAGGGAUACCAAAAAAGCUAAAAAUAAUUGCCUUAUUCAUUCAAAUCUCUCCACAGCCACAAGUUAGCCUACCAGGUUAGAGCUCCAGC